ACGAACGCUGGCGGCGUGCUUAACACAUGCAAGUCGAACGAUGAACUCCCAGCUUGCUGGGGGGGAUUAGUGGCGAACGGGUGAGUAACACGUGAGUAACCUGCCCUGGACUCUGGGAUAACCCCGAGAAAUCGGAGCUAAUACCGGAUAGGACCCUGGACCGCAUGGUUUGGGGUGGAAAGUUUUUCGGUCUGGGAUGGACUCGCGGCCUAUCAGCUUGUUGGUGAGGUAAUGGCUCACCAAGGCGUCGACGGGUAGCCGGCCUGAGAGGGUGACCGGCCACACUGGGACUGAGACACGGCCCAGACUCCUACGGGAGGCAGCAGUGGGGAAUAUUGCACAAUGGGCGCAAGCCUGAUGCAGCAACGCCGCGUGCGGGAUGACGGCCUUCGGGUUGUAAACCGCUUUUAGUAAGGAAGAAGGGGAGCUUGCUCCUUGACGGUACUUGCAGAAAAAGGACCGGCUAACUACGU
rnacentral:rRNA from 1 species